GACGAACGGUGGCGGCGAGCUUAACACAUGCAAGUCGAACGGAAAGGCCGUGCUAUUGUGGGGUGCUCGAGUGGCGAACGGGUGCUUAACACGUGAGUAACCUGCAGUUGACUUUGGGGUAACUUCAGGAAACUGGGGCUAAUACCGGAUAGGAGCUCCUGCUGCAUGGUGGGAGUUGGAACGUUUCGGCGGUUGGGGAUGGACUCGCGGCUUAUCAGCUUGUUGGUGGGGUAGUGGCUUACCAAGGCUUUGACGGGUAGCCGGCCUGAGAGGGUGACCGGCCACAUUGGGACUGAGAUACGGCCCAGACUCCUACGGGAGGCAGCAGUGGGGAAUAUUGCACAAUGGGCGGAAGCCUGAGGCAGCAACGCCGCGUGCGGGAUGACGGCCUUCGGGUUGUAAACCGCUUUCGCCUGUGACGAAGCGUGAGUGACGGUAAUGGGUAAAGAAGCACCGGCUAACUACGUG
rnacentral:rRNA from 1 species